rnacentral:rRNA from 1 species
GACGGAGGGAGCAAGCGUUGUUCGGAAUUACUGGGCAUAAAGGGCGCGUAGGCGGUAGAGCAAGUCAGUUAGUGAAAGCCCCUGGCUCAACCAGGGAAUUGCUUCUGAUACUGCUUUACUUGAGUGUAGGAGGGGAGAUUGGAACUCUUGGUGGAGCGGUGAAAUGCGUAGAUAUCAAGAGGAACGCCGGUGGUGAAAACGGAUCUCUAUCCUAUUACUGACGCUGAGGCGCGAAAGCCAGGGGAGCAAACGGG